rnacentral:tRNA from 1 species
UCCCUGGUGGUCCAGUGGCUAAGACUCUGCACUCCCAAUGCAGGGGGCCUGGGUUCGAUCCCUGGUUAGGGAA